rnacentral:tRNA from 1 species
AGCCCUGUGGCGCAAUGGUUAGCGCGUCUGCAUUUGGAGCAGAAAGUUAUUGGUUCGAAUCCAGUCAGGGUUA